GACAGAGGGUGCAAACGUUGCUCGGAAUCACUGGGCGUAAAGGGCGUGUAGGCGGAUCGGCAAGUCGGGUGUGAAAGCCCCGGGCUCAACCCGGGAAGUGCACUCGAAACUGUGAGGCUAGAGUAUCGGAGAGGUUGGUGGAAUUCUCGGUGUAGAGGUGAAAUUCGUAGAUAUCGAGAGGAACACCGGUGGCGAAGGCGGCCAACUGGACGAAUACUGACGCUGAGACUCGAAAGCGUGGGGGAGCAAACAGG
rnacentral:rRNA from 1 species